rnacentral:rRNA from 1 species
UACAGAGGGGGCAAGCGUUGUUCGGAAUUACUGGGCGUAAAGGGCGCGUAGGCGGCCUGUUAAGUCGGACGUGAAAUCCCUCGGCUCAACCGAGGAACUGCGUCUGAUACUGGCGGGCUUGAAUUCGGGAGAGGGAUGUGGAAUUCCAGGUGUAGCGGUGAAAUGCGUAGAUAUCUGGAGGAACACCUGCGGUGUAGACGGCUUUCUGGACCAUUGCUGACGCUGAGACACGAAAGCGUGGGUAGCAAACAGG